rnacentral:lncRNA from 1 species
GUCCCAUUGUGACAGAAUGAAACCGUGGACCAAGUAGCUGUCAUGAAGUGAGCAACUUUCUUCUGCCACACCCUCCCACCUUGAUGUUUCUGCCUCACACAGAUCUAAAGAGAUGGAACUAGCCAACCAUGGACUGACACCUAUGAAACCAUGAACCACAUAAGCUUUUCUUCCUUUAAGCAGAUUGUCAUGGUUAUUUUGUCUCAGUGACAAAAAGCUGGUCAACACACCUAAUUCCAUCAAAAGUUAUAGGUCAAAGAGGAAGGGCAUCACAUCGGCACUUUCUGAAAGCUGUCUCGAAACAGAGAUUGUGACGGAUUGUAUUCUUCCAGCCUUCUUGGAGCUGUCCCGAAGAAAGGGGAGUGCUGUGAAUCUGCUCGGGUCAUGAGCAGGUGCGACUUGGUGAAGGAGAGAAAGCACUUGUUCCCCAUGUCCCAGGCCAGGAGCCCGGGGACCUCGCCAUGGAGGCUGGCCCAGAAGUCAGAGUCACGGAGCUUUGUGGGCCACCGUGGGCGAAGGAGUGGAGCGCAGGUGGGGAGCUCGGCCCCACGCCCACGCCGCUUCUGGAAGUAGUCGGCGGUCCAGGUGCAGGGGGCCAAGCAAGCGGCGCAGAUGCCCGAGCUCGCCACUGCCCCGAGGGCUUCCUCUGUGCCCUGGUCCUCGGAACUCAAAGUUUGAGGAUCCAGGAGGACGACAAUAUGUAUCUCACACCUUUCUCCCUAUGGCGCACAAACCUCUCAGAAGGAUCCUGCAGCAGGGCUAAUAGCGGCUUCCUGAAAGUUCUAAUAGGUUUUAUGGUUUAUCUAAGAUCGCAUCUAUAGUAGGCUGUGGAGCUAGCCUAAGAGUCUAGUUUUUAAGUGUUCUGACCAUGAAUAAAUUAUAAAUAUGUGAGCUAAAACAUUUGUUAGAUUUAGCCAUUGCACAACACGUCUGGCCUGGAUUUUGCAGUGAUCCUUUAGCGUCAGCUUCCUAAGUGCUGAGAUAACAGGUGUGUGCCACCAUGCCUGGUUUUGUUUAUGUAUUUUUUACACUUGAUCUUAGCCAAAAGGCCUAGAAGCGAUUGUUGUUUAUGUAUUUUAAAACAUCGUGUUUUUACCAUAAAUACUUUGGGUUUCUCAUAUAAGAGAAACAUAUUUAAGCAUUUGUGUCUGAUUUAUUUUACUUAACAUUAUGGUCUGUAGGUAUAUCCAUUUUCCUACAAAUGACUCAAAUUUAUCCUUCUUUAUAGCAGAGUAGUACUCCUUAGUAUGUAAAUACCACAUUUUCUUUUAAAUGUUAAUGGACAUAUAAGAUGCUUCAAAUAUUCAGCUAUUAUGAAUUGUGUGUGUAUAUAUAUGUAAUUUUUUGCAAUUAAAAUAAACAAGUAAAGAAAUAAAGGACAUUGAGAAGUUGAAAGUAAAUGGAGCCAGGUGUGGUAGUGCAUAUCUAUAAUCCCAGCACUUGGGAGGCUGAGGCAGGAG